AAACGUUGCUAAGGAUUUCCGCUUCCAAUAGAAAAGCGCUUUCUAUUUUUUAAGACCUCCCACCACCACGGCGUCCUCUCCUUUUUUGAGCCCCCUUCAACUUCUUUCCACAUUUCCCCGCCCCCUUUUCCCCAUUUCGCCAAUGAGAUGUUUACAAAGGCGGGCUUUGUCCGCGAGGUGUUGCCUGAGCGGCCAAUAGGGAGCGAGGGGAUGGAAUGGGGGCGUGGCUUCAGGCGUGGCGUUCGUUUUCUCUUCAGGAGGAAGGACUACUCAUGGGCGCCGCUUUUUCCCGCCCAAAGCUCCUCCUCACACAAAACUCCACCUUCAAUUCCGCUUUCAGUUCGGGAAAAACAAUAAAGGAAAACCCUAGAAAACUACAAAUCCAGACUGCAAAAAGAAGAUUAAACCAAAAGUUGCAGGCUUUCAGCUAGCAAGAAGGCUCCCAAGGAAAAGAAUGUCGGACUCUCUGGUUGUGUGCGACAUGGAUCCGGAGCUGAUGGAGAAACUGAAGAAAUUCCGCUUCCGGAAAGAGACCAACAAUGCAGCUAUUGUCAUGAAAGUAGACAAAGAAAGGCAGCUGGUGGUACUGGAAGAAGAAUUUCAGGAUAUCUCUCCAGAUGAGCUGAGGAACGAACUACCAGAACGGCAACCUCAAUAUCCUUCUUGUACUUUUGGAAGGGAAACGGAAUCGUUUUGGGCCUGAAAAGUGACACUGUUUUUGUUUAAAGACAAGAUAACAUUGUCCUUCUGUAUACACAUAGUUGUUUGACUCAUAUUCUCAGAGACCAAGGUCCCAUUUGCUUCCUUGACUAUUGUGUCCUGUACCUUUAUCGCCUAUAGCUAUAAAUACAUCCAUGAAGAUGGGCGCAUCUCCUACCCGCUCUGCUUCAUAUUCUGCAGCCCAGUCGGAUGUAAGCCUGAGCAGCAGAUGAUGUAUGCGGGCAGCAAAAACCGCUUGGUGCAGGCAGCUGAGCUCACCAAGGUCUUUGAGAUCCGUUCCACUGACGAUCUGACGGAGCAAUGGCUGAAAGAGCGCCUGGCCUUUUUCCGCUAAUGGAAGCGGAGGGACCCCAAACACGGCACAAUCUCAUCCCUUUCCCCAUACUUCAGAAUGGGAAUCCUGCGGUUCCCAGCGGCCACCCUUGCCAACAUAUAGUAAGGAAGGCUGGAGGUUGUGCUCCAAUCACAUCUGUAAAUCAUAUGCUUUGCACCCUUGCUAUAAAGUCAACAUCACUCCAUAGUUGUGAAAGGCAGGAAAUAGAACAAUAAGAAGUGGAUGCAGGUGGAGAAUGUUUAAAGCAGAGAAUUUAUUCCAGUAGGAAAGAAAAAUAGUAGUUUGGGGAAAAGAAGACCUGGGAAUUAGAUUUGCAUAUAUACUCAGCAUUGUGUUGUUGAAGGCUUUCACGGCCAGACUCGCUGGGUUGCUGUGAGUUUUCCAGGUUGUCUGGCCAUGUUCCAGGAGCAUUCUGUCCUGACGUUUCACCCACAUCUUUGGCAGGCAUCCUCAGAGGUUGUGAGAUAUGUUGGAAACUAGGCAACAGUUGGAUUUAUAUAUCUGUGGAAUAAUGUCCAGGGUGGGAGAAAGAACUGUCGAAGGCAUUGGCCACCUUGCUAGGCAUUGAAAAGCCUUGCAUCUUCAAAGCCUGGCUGUUUUCUCCCUGGGGGAAUCAUUUGUUGGGAGAUGUUAGGUGGCC